rnacentral:rRNA from 1 species
GAUGAACGCUGGCGGCGUGCCUAAUACUUGCAAGUCGAGCGAACGGACGAGAAGCUUGCUUCUCUGAUGUUAGCGGCGGACGGGUGAGUAACACGUGGAUAACCUACCUAUAAGACUGGGAUAACUUCGGGAAACCGGAGCUAAUACCGGAUGAUAUUUUGAACCGCAUGGUUCAAAAGUGAAAGACGGUCUUGCUGUCACUUAUAGAUGGAUCCGCGCUGCAUUAGCUAGUUGGUAAGGUAACGGCUUACCAAGGCAACGAUGCAUAGCCGACCUGAGAGGGUGAUCGGCCACACUGGAACUGAGACACGGUCCAGACUCCUACGGGAGGCAGCAGUAGGGAAUCUUCCGCAAUGGGCGAAAGCCUGACGGAGCAACGCCGCGUGAGUGAUGAAGGUCUUCGGAUCGUAAAACUCUGUUAUUAGGGAAGAACAUAUGUGUAAGUAACUGUGCACAUCUUGACGGUACCUAAUCAGAAAGCCACGGCUAACUACGUG